ensembl:lincRNA
ACCCUAAAAACUGAAUUCCCGUGAGCUGGGAGACAAAAUGAACCUCUCCUCUUUAAGUUGCUUUUGACAGAUCACGGCAAUGAACAAAGUAACUGACAGACCAUGUAACCCAGGCUGGCCUCAGACUUACUGUGCAGCUUCAGCGGCAGGGUUUCUCUGUGCAGCCCUUGCUGUCCUGGAACUCGAUUUGUGUAGACCAGGUUGUCCUGGAAUUCAGAGAUCUGCCUUUCUCUGCCUUCCAAGUGCUGGGAUUAAAGAUGAAUACAGCACACAUGACCUUUCCACCCAGAGUUACAUCGAUGAAUGCCUUUGGACUUGAGAAGCCCACCUCCCACAGUUGGCACACUGCUGAUCAUUUUGAUAAUACCUACUCACUGUUUCCCCCCUCUAGCUUUCCCCAAACCACUCCCAACAUGUCUCCAUCUCAAUGUCAUGCCCCCAAUUUUUUUCCUUUUAAAUUACCAACUGAGUCUAAUUAGCAUGCCUCUAUGUCCAUGCACUAGAGCAUGAACCUACCAGAGGCCACAGUCC